rnacentral:rRNA from 1 species
GCUACGGGGGGCUGCAGUGGGGAAUAUUGGACAAUGGGGGCAACCCUGAUCCAGCCAUGCCGCGUGUGUGAAGAAGGCCCUCGGGUUGUAAAGCACUUUCAGUGAGGAAGAACGCCUGGUGGUUAAUACCCAUCAGGAAAGACAUCACUCACAGAAGAAGCACCGGCUAACUCCGUGCCAGCAGCCGCGGUAAUACGGAGGGUGCGAGCGUUAAUCGGAAUUACUGGGCGUAAAGCGCGCGUAGGUGGCUUGAUAAGCCGGUUGUGAAAGCCCCGGGCUCAACCUGGGAACGGCAUCCGGAACUGUCAAGCUAGAGUGCAGGAGAGGAAGGUAGAAUUCCCGGUGUAGCGGUGAAAUGCGUAGAGAUCGGGAGGAAUACCAGUGGCGAAGGCGGCCUUCUGGACUGACACUGACACUGAGGUGCGAAAGCGUGGGUAGCAAACAGGAUUAGAUACCCUGGUAGUC